rnacentral:rRNA from 1 species
GGGGAAUAUUGCACAAUGGGGGAAACCCUGAUGCAGCGACGCCGCGUGAGUGAAGAAGUAUUUCGGUACGUAAAGCUCUAUCAGCAGGGAAGAAAAUGACGGUACCUGACUAAGAAGCCCCGGCUAACUACGUGCCAGCAGCCGCGGUAAUACGUAGGGGGCAAGCGUUAUCCGGAUUUACUGGGUGUAAAGGGAGCGUAGGUGGCAAGUCAAGUCAGAUGUGAAAGCCCGGGGCUCAACUCCGGGAUUGCAUUUGAAACUGGUUUGCUAGAGUGCAGGAGAGGUAAGUGGAAUUCCUAGUGUAGCGGUGAAAUGCGUAGAUAUUAGGAGGAACACCAGUGGCGAAGGCGGCUUACUGGACUGUAACUGACACUGAGGCACGAAAGCUGGGGUAGCGAAC